GAAAGUCUAUACAGAUUUCAUGCCCCUUGUCUAUACAAAUUUAUCUGCCGUAAACCGUCUGACAGAACGAUUUUCAGCAAAAACAUCCGGAAAGUGGCCGCCAGCCGAUGUUUUCAACUAGACGAGUAUGAAAGGGAAUACAGUGUUAGAUAUCAUCGAGGAUAUGUGACCAAAGGGUUUUAGAAGUCUUGAGAGAUGUAUGUAGAUCAAACCCAUCAAGUAAGCCAACACCAUGUCUACAAGGUCAUACCUCUAGAACCUCUCACACCUCUACAGCUGAGGACAAAUCUAAAAGUGGACAGAGGGAUAGUAUGAAUGCUUCAGUGAAAUUAAGGAGCUCAGGUUCUAACAAGCAUAGUAGAGCAGUGCAACACAGAGGUACUCCGAUGUGCAAUUUUACAAUUUUUUCCAGACAGUGAUUACAGCGAGGCUUGAAGACUACUGUACACAAUUUCUUAACAAAUCCAAAAACAAAGCCGUGUAACAUUCAACUAAGUGAUUCAAAGAAAACCAAACUACAAACAAGAAAGGGUCGAUUGAAUGGAGUGACAUUUUUACCCUGAAGCGUCCUAUUAAGAUAAAGAGAAUCUAGUCGUUUGUGCCAUGGCACAAAAAUUAUCAGACACAUAAGUAACAUUCAAGUAGUAGUAUGCAUUUACAUGGAGGAUAUGACAUAAUUGUAUUUUCAUAUUGAAUUUAUCAUAUAAGUUGAAUAAAGAAAAUAAAAUGUGAGGCUCUGUCGAGCAUUUUAAAAGUUUUAAUAAAUGCAAUUUGGAAAGUCACAAAUGUAAUAUUCUUUUAUCACAUGUUAGAUUUUCCUGUCAAAACAUUGAAAAUUAUUUUUUCUUUUACUAUAUUAACAAGCCAACUUAAUCAACACUUCCAAUACUUUAAACGACAUUGACGUCAAAUCUUUAUUACACUAGUGUAUAAUAAUUUUUUUGUAAUGACUUUAUUACAAUCCUGUGAUGUCAAACAUAUGAUAAUGUUCUAUUAGCAUUAAUUGUAGACUUGUUGAACUUUUUUCUUAACAAACUCUAUGAAAUACUGGUUGAACCCUAAUAGUGCUGGAAACAAACGUUUCAGGCCAUGUUGACCAGUGUAGACCAGAUCUGCAGGCACCCUUGCCAGUUGAUCGAACCACACACUUAAUUGCCAACAUGGUUGGAAGGGUCUUAUUGUCCAAGCUGCAAAGAGUGUAUACCCAUAUAAACUAGCUGGCACAGUUGUGUGUCAGUUGAUAUCAGUCUGUGCUGGUUGCAAAUUCAAAUCCAAUACUUUCAUAGAAUUAUACGUUUUUAUUUAAUGUUUAUAGCAUCAAUAAUUUGAUAAUCUGAAAACAUAUUGCAAGUCAGGUUUUCAAGUAUAAUCCUAUAAAUUAACUUUUAGAACAUUCUGCAUAAAGUAAGGUGAUAUCUCUAAGUUGUCAAAGAAAAGCUUUUGCAGCUCUUUAUAAUUAAACAUGGCAUGGCACUUGUAUCUAUAGCUUUGUCCUCCAUACAAGUACUCAAAUUUUGUGACAUUUUUUAAUAUAUUUUCCCCCAUAUUCCUAUUUACAGUAAUUUGUUACAUUUCUCUUUUAAUAGUUUCCAAGUGGUAAAUAAAAACAAUAAAAUUUCACGAUUAUUUCUAAUAUUUUAUUUACUUGUGUAUUUCAUGCAAUUAGGCUAAAAAUGUAAAAAAGUAAUUUUUGAAGAAAUUUUUUUUAAAGUUAGACCAGUGUUGCAUCAGCCAUCAAUAUGUUAACUUGUCUAGAGUAUGUACACAAACAUACUGGGAGAAGAAACAGAUUUUUGGCUAAAUGAAAGUACAAAAUGUUUUUGCUUAACGUUUUCCAAUGAAUAACCAUGUACAAGGUUAAAUUACUUUUUUGGGUGAUGUUCUUUUCUGUGGAAAGACCAGGUGUUGCUUCACAAUUGUUUUUUUUCCUCAUUAAUAUCAUUUUAUGUAAUUUCCAUUUUUGGCUUUUUGCUUGAUAUAUUGAUGUCCUGUGUGAGCAUCUAUUAGCAAUACAUGUAUCAAUGAGUGUCAUGAGUUACUUAUAAGACCAUAAAGUACAAAAUAAAACUAUAUUACAGCU